rnacentral:lncRNA from 1 species
AGUUCCAGGAGGAGGGCGCAUGGGGUGAGCUGAGGGUAGAAGGCUUUUGUUCCAAAGCCCCUCUGACCUGAACACACACACACUCAUAGCGUGCCCUGAAUCUGGCUCAGAAGCCGUCGCUCCGAAGAAGCCUUCAGACUACCAAGCCGAGUAAUUCCUCAGAAUUGUCCCACGUUGUCCUAGAGAAGUCGUCUUUAUAGCCAUGGAGUAGGGUGUCUGCAGGCCUCCAGUCAAUUCCAACCGCCAAAGUUAAACGUUGCCAUUGCAGUUACUGUCGGACCAAAGUAACCCCUGAGAACUCUCCACAUUUGUAAAACGGACUGAAAGGUUCAGUGGCGUUUCCCACCUGGAACAGGACUAGGUAAUGCUUUGAACAUGAAGAGGUAUUAAUGGCCACUUGCCCUUUAAACCACAGAGGGACAGCUGAGCACAGUGACCUUCUAGCCCAACUUGAGAGAAGCAGGAAAUGGGGUCUGAGGCUGAAGGUUCAGAUGAUAAAAUGUCCCUCGGGAAGAUAACAAAAUGCUUCAUCCGAUGGUGGCCCAAGACGCCUCUUAAAAUCUAAGGAAAUAGUUUCCCUUUUAAAAAGCUGCUUUGUGGAAAUAACAAGUGAGAUCUUUUCCUGCUGUUUGUCUCUCUGCCUGAAUCCUGACAUAUUUUCUCUCACAGAUGUCAAUCUUUAGCUAAAAGUCUAUAAAUGAUAUUUCUUUUAAUAGUCCUGAAACAUAAACUACUGUUGCCUCCAACUCUUUCUAGGUUCCCAGAAUGUUUCCAUGGUUUUAUUCUAUUACAAAGUUUGAAACUUUAGUAAUAUUAAGAAAAUCCAUUAUCCACAUGAGUCCAUCAGCUUCACUCUGUUCUCACAUAUUUCCCCACAGGUGGCUGGACAGGAAAAAUCUAAAUGACUUGGGUAGCUAAUAGUCUUAGAAUACUAGGCCCCAACUAGCACAGAGACGGUGUCUCUAAACAUCUGGCUUCAUUGCACACUAUAUGCAAACUGAUGCCAGCGUAUUUACAAAGGUCUCAGUGUACCCAGAAUACCAGGUAACUGUACCUCUAUUUUUCUGAAAACGAGAUUUUGAAAUAUUUUUAAUGGACAUAAGUGUCUGUAUCACUUCUGCCUCCUAGAUGACUGUCCCCUGUGAGGAUCUGUCCUGGGAAUGAGGAGAUAGGACUGGUUGAAGCAAAUGCUAAGAAGCUCCCUCCUGAGGACUGAGGGACCAGUAAUGGUUCUGCUUCAACACCAGAGGGGUGCAAUCCCAGCAGAAAAGGAACACUGUCUCUAAUGUUGCAACAAAGUAACCAGCACGAAGUUAGCAAGAAGAAAUCACUCUUGCAGCUGCUGAACACUGAUCCCUACCUACUUUAGACUUAGAUCCAGAACCGAGUCAGCACAGUGACUUAUGUCACUCCCACUGGCUUAAGAGAACGACAUAUAGACAAGAUGCUACCUCCCAUGGAAAGGCCCCUAUACAUAAAGUCACUUUAUUUCUCUGUCAUAUCCCUGAAAAUAAUUUAUGUAAUUAUGCUGUUAAUGAAGUCUAGCAACUC